rnacentral:lncRNA from 1 species
AAUGCUUCAUGCAAGUGUAUAAAGAUUCGAUGUGAUUGGGAAUCUUGAAAAUUUUUGGAAACUAAACAAGGCCGAACCCUCAAAUCAACGUCAGGAACAUCACCACCAUCCGCUAAUUUAAUUUAAUUGUACACAUCAUCCACAUUAGCAGCUUAACAAUACUUAAUCAACACAGGCAUCACUCAAGCUCACCUAGCUCAUCAGUUUUACAACAGAUCCAGCAGCACAUAACAUAGAACACACGGGUGACCUCAACUGAACAGCAACACAGAACACAGGCAGCGCCAUCAAAUCCUCCUAAUUACUCCAUUAAUUAAUCCAGAGACGAACAACAGCGACGACGACGACGAC